CAGCGAACGCUGGCGGCAGGCCUAACACAUGCAAGUCGAACGAACUCUUCGGAGUUAGUGGCGGACGGGUGAGUAACACGUGGGAACGUGCCUUUUGGUUCGGAAUAACUCAGGGAAACUUGUGCUAAUACCGAAUGUGCCCUUCGGGGGAAAGAUUUAUCGCCAUUAGAGCGGCCCGCGUCUGAUUAGCUAGUUGGUGAGGUAACGGCUCACCAAGGCGACGAUCAGUAGCUGGUCUGAGAGGAUGACCAGCCACACUGGGACUGAGACACGGCCCAGACUCCUACGGGAGGCAGCAGUGGGGAAUCUUGCGCAAUGGGCGAAAGCCUGACGCAGCCAUGCCGCGUGAAUGAUGAAGGUCUUAGGAUUGUAAAAUUCUUUCACCGGGGACGAUAAUGACGGUACCCGGAGAAGAAGCCCCGGCUAACUUCGUG
rnacentral:rRNA from 1 species